GGCACACUGGAAUGUGUCCUUAUUUGGAGAGAGGGUCUUUACAGAGGUAAUUCAGUUAAAAUCAGGUCAUUAGUGUGGGCCUAAUCUAAUAUGGUGUCCUUAGGAAAAG